GCGCAUGUGCGCGGUGUGGCUCCAGGUCGCAGCUUCAUGGCCUGAUGCCUUCAGGAAGUAUUUUGAAGUCAUCGUGGCUGUGGAUUGGGGGAUUUCUUGUUUCCACUGACCUGUGAGGCCGCGCACGUGGAGGGAGGCACCCCGGGUCCUCCGGCACUGUCCGGCCUCGCCUGUGUCCCUAGUAGCAGUGGGCAUUUCCAGACGGUGCAGCUUGUGGCUAAAGUGACAGGAAGAUGUAGGAGCUUUCAGUCUUGGAUGAGGAUUCGAACUGAAGGGCUUAGGCCCAGCUGUCUUGGAGCAAAACAUCUGUUGUGGGAUGUGGCGGCAGAGGAGGGCAAGGCCGAAGGAGCAGACAGCACCGCUUCUUGGGGAGUUGUGAAGGCAUCAUGCGGAGGGCCGAGCUUAGCAGCCAAGUGGAGGACAGCACCCUCCAUGCCUGGAUUCGUUACUCGCUCGUUCUCGAUGUUGAGCUGCUGGCAUAUUGCAGCACAACUAGAGAUGUACGGAUGCCCCCAUCUUGAUCUUACAGAAUCAGAGGUGCAGCCGCAAGAAAGAGUCAAGAACAGACACUGAGUCGCUUGAGGACUCAGGCAGGUGUUUGCUGCAUUGACAACAGAUGGAAUAUGAUCACAUCCCAGGGAUCAGUGUCAUUUAGGGAUGUGACUAUGGGCUUCACUCAAGAGGAGUGGCAUCAUCUGGACCCUGCUCAGAGGACCCUGUAGAGGAAUGUGAUGCUGGAGAACUACAGCCACCUUGUCUCAGUAGGGUAUUGCAUUCCUAAACCAGAAGUGAUCCUCAAAUUGGAGACAGGCAAGGAGCCAUGGAUAUUAGAGGAAAAAUUUCGAAGCCAGAGUCAUCUGGAAUUAAUUAAUACCAGUAGAAACUAUUCAAGAAUGAAGUUCAAUGAGUUUAACAAAGGUGGAAAAUGUUUCUGUGAUGAAAGCAUGAAAUAAUUCAUUUUGAAGAGGAACCUUCUGAAUAUAAUAACAAUGGGAACAGCUUCUGGCUGAAUGAAGACCUCAUUUGGCAUCAGAAGAUUAAAAAUUGGGAGCAACCUUUUGAAUACAAUGAAUGUGGGAAAGCUUUCCCUGAGAAUUCACUCUUCCUUGUACAUAAGAGAGCUUACACAGGACAGAAAACAUGCAAAUAUACUGAACAUGGGAAAA
ensembl:lncRNA ZNF37BP zinc finger protein 37B, pseudogene